GAUGAACGCUGGCGGUAUGCCUAACACAUGCAAGUCGUACGAGAGUUUUUAACUCUAGUGGCGGACGGGUGAGUAACACGUGAGAAUUUGCCUUUAGGAGGGGGAUAACAAUUGGAAACGAAUGCUAAUACCCCACUAUGCUUUUGUAGUGAAAUAGGAUUUUAUUCCGCCUAGAGAGAAGCUCGCGGCUGAUUAGCUUGUUGGUAAGGUAAGAGCUUACCAAGGCGACGAUCAGUAUCUGGUUUGUAGAGGACGAUCAGACACACUGGAACUGAGACACGGUCCAGACUCCUACGGGAGGCAGCAGUGGGGAAUUUUCCGCAAUGGGCGAAAGCCUGACGGAGCAAUACCGCGUGAGGGAAGAAUGCCUAUGGGUUGGUAAACCUCUUUUGUCAGGGAAGAAACACCGGCUCUAACACAGUCCGGGAAUGACGGUACCUGAAGAAUAAGCACCGGCUAACUACGU
rnacentral:rRNA from 1 species